UAUUGUUGCUGCGUUGUGGAG
rnacentral:piRNA from 1 species